rnacentral:lncRNA from 1 species
CACAAAUCUUAACUCCUUCAGAAAGAAGGCAUGUAAGAACAAACAGGGUGGCAGUGUCUGCUCUGGUUCAAAAACGUAGACACAUACAUCAGAUCUGUCUUGUGAGGAGCUAAAUAAUUCCAACGUCCACAAAGACCAUCCACAUCAAAUUCUCUAGGAAUGGAUGCAUUUUCACACCUUCUCAAUGUGACAGGACAUUCCAGGUGGAAGACUUUCUCAAAGGAAAAGCAACUUCAAAGGUCGAUCAUCAGUUUUAAACGACCUGCUCAGCCUGACUUUGAAAAACUCAGGCCCAGAAAUGUCAUCUGACUCAGUGGGGAAACUGGAGAAGUCAUCUAAAGGCAGAGCAUUUUGGCAAAGCUGAGUAUGUACUAAGAAACUGGAACUAUCUCACAGCAGAGACAGAGCCCAGAAGUGAGUCUGCCUGGGGGAACAGCCAAAAAGAACAUCCAGGCCUGGAAGACAAACUGAGGGGUGGAUAGAACUGUGUGGGGAGGAGUCUGGUGCUGACUGGUGAAUUCGGAAGCAGGAAAGAGGGACAGAGUGGAUUUUACAACCAGAAUAAAGCUGGGAAAUGCCCCCAUGAAUGGAGCCAAAGAAAGGUUGGAGUUUGGGGUAUGGUGUGUAUUUGAAGAUUCAAAGUCAACUUUUAAUAACAGUGCCUGCACGUGGUCUUCAGGAGCUCAAACACUCUCACACAGAACAGAAAGGAAGUCUCCAAAACGAUUGUGAAAUUGACAAAUCACCGCACUGGUAAGCUUCAGAUUCCGACUUAGUUUGCCAUAGUUUUCAAACCUCAUAGGUUCCUAGAUAUCUAAACAUUGUAUGUUAAUCCUUCAAAGAUUCUGAGCAGGGAUUA